rnacentral:rRNA from 1 species
GUCCACGCCCUAAACUAUGUCUACUAGUUGUUGGGGGAGUUAAAUCCCUUAGUAACGCAGCUAACGCGAGAAGUAGACCGCCUGGGGAGUACGGUCGCAAGAUUAAAACUCAAAGGAAUUGACGGGGGCCCGCACAAGCGGUGGAUGAUGUGGUUUAAUUCGAUGCAACGCGAAAAACCUUACCUACCCUUGACAUGUCCGGAAUCCUGCAGAGAUGCAGGAGUGCCCGAAAGGGAACCGGAACACAGGUGCUGCAUGGCUGUCGU